rnacentral:rRNA from 1 species
AGUGAACGCUGGCGGUAGGCCUAACACAUGCAAGUCGAACGGCAGCACAGUAAGAGCUUGCUCUUACGGGUGGCGAGUGGCGGACGGGUGAGGAAUACAUCGGAAUCUACUUUUUCGUGGGGGAUAACGUAGGGAAACUUACGCUAAUACCGCAUACGACCUACGGGUGAAAGCAGGGGAUCUUCGGACCUUGCGCGAUUGAAUGAGCCGAUGUCGGAUUAGCUAGUUGGCGGGGUAAAGGCCCACCAAGGCGACGAUCCGUAGCUGGUCUGAGAGGAUGAUCAGCCACACUGGAACUGAGACACGGUCCAGACUCCUACGGGAGGCAGCAGUGGGGAAUAUUGGACAAUGGGCGCAAGCCUGAUCCAGCUAUACCGCGUGGGUGAAGAAGGCCUUCGGGUUGUAAAGCCCCUUUGUUGGGAAAGAAAAGCAGCAGGUUAAUACCCCGCUGUUCUGACGGUACCCAAAGAAUAAGCACCGGCUAACUUCGUG